GGGAAGGAUAAAAAUUAGACUCUUAAUCAGUAGGUUGUUGGUUCGAUUCCAACACGGCCCACCA
rnacentral:tRNA from 1 species